ACUUCUUAGGAAAUAACCAGCACUCGAUUCACAAAAGCACAGAAGGCAGAUCUCCACAGUCCACUCCUCGAUAUUUCUACUUCACUGGCUAUUCCCAAAAUCGUCUUACUAUUGGGUCUUCGCCAAGUUUCGAGCUGACCUUAGCCAGUGUGAAACCGAGCUCCAAAAGGUCUCGAAGGAGAGGAAUGCUCUGAAGCUUCUUUGCUGCCAAAAAGAUGAAACUAUAAAGGACCUUCAAGCGGAUUUGGCCAAGGCUCGCGAGGAAAAGGCUGAGCUAGAUAAGCAGCUGCAGCAAAAAGUUGAAAGGAUCGAGCUGCUUCGGGGAGAAGUCGAUUAGGUAAAGGCCGAUUGUGAUCGGCGAAAGGAGAAUAUGGACCGCCUGGCUGCGAAAAAAGAAACUACCUUGGCCAAACUGUCAUCGGCCGAGGUUCAACUUCGGUGCAUCAAAGAGAAAAUUUCAGCCCAAGCCAAGAGGAUAGAAGAGCUUAAAACCGGGCUUGCUGAGGCCAAGGCGGAGAUCGAGAAGACAAAGGUCAUGGCAGACAAGUCCAUUGCCAUGUACCGGGCCGAUACUGAGGCUACUCAAAUGCAGCUAAGGGAGGCUUCUAACCGAGAGUAAUGGAUCCUUGACUCGGCAAAGUGUCAAUCCUGGAGGGAAACCCUCGAAGAAAUCCAUACUCGAGGUUUUGACCUCUCCGAGGAGAUAGCCCGAGCCAAGGUGUUUGAAGUUGAAUCCAGGCAGCUUGCCUCCUUCGAUGACGAAGACGAUGAUGAAGAAGGCAGUUGAGGCGGAUCCAAUGAGGGGCCUAAAGAGUAAGUUGCUCCCGGAGAAGAGGUCGAAACCGACCGUAGUUAGGGCU